GUCACAGACGCGUGGGGCUCGCGGGGAGCCGGGCUGGGGCCGUCCGUGUCCCGCGGGGCUCUGGGCGGCCGCUCGACCGAGGACCCACGACUCCGCCCCGACCCCGCCGUGUUCGCGAGACCCGGAGACCCCUUCGCGCCUUCCAGGACCGCCCCUUUCGCGACGCUGCGUGCUGUGCUUGGUCCUGGCGGCCAAGAGCGGCGGUGGCAAGGGGACCGCCCUGGCCCGAGACGCGGCCUGGCCUCGCAGCGUCGCUUGGGCACAGCCUCUCUAGGCCCCUUCGUCCUCGGUCGCGGAGGGACGCCAUUAAACGGCCACGCCGGGCUCAACUGGGACGCGGCCCACGGCGCCCAACCAGGGCCUGGGGGAGGGAAGCCGGGGCGACUCCUGGGUCCUUCCAGGACCCUUGCGCAGGCCUCAUUCUCUCCCCGGAGGUCCCCUUCCCGCUGCCCUGAGGCCACUCUCCUGCCAGCAGCUGCUGGGCCGGCUCUCGGGAGAAUGCCUUGGCGUCAAGCUUAUCAGGCUGCAGGGCGGGACGCGAGUGCUGAGGGCAGCCAGACU